rnacentral:rRNA from 1 species
CUGCACGUGUGAUACAAUGAGUAUAAUAGCAGGUUUUUGUUUCGAAAGAAAUCAGUAAUCCUGAAAUAUACUCGUGGUAGGGAUCGCCUGUUGCAAUUUCAGUCGUGAACAAGGAAUUCCUAGUAAGGACAAGUCAUUAUCUUGUGCUGAUUAUGU